CACAUGACUCUCGGCAACGGAUAUCUCGGCUCUUGCAUCGAUGAAGAACGUAGCAAAAUGCGAUACCUGGUGUGAAUUGCAGAAUCCCGUGAACCAUCGAGUUUUUGAACGCAAGUUGCGCCCGAGGCCUUCUGGUCGAGGGCACGUCUGCCUGGGCGUCACGC
rnacentral:rRNA from 2 species